GGUGGGCACUGGAUUGAUGGAGUGAUAAAUGUAUAAGGGUGAGGUGAGGUGCCAAGGUGCCAACGAACCCUUGAACACCCAUGUGCGUGGAUGCGUUGCCGGCCUUUAAGGAGGUAGAGAAACACGAAAUGUGUGAUACACCACGUGGAGACUGGAAUGAAUAAGACCUAAAAUAGACGGCGACAGAAGAGGAUCAGCUACCUGUCUAGAAAAAUUUAGAAUUAAGCAACAUAUGCAGCUGUUGCAAGUCUUAGCUACGUCCAAGGAUUGUAAAACAAUUUUUUUUAGU